rnacentral:rRNA from 1 species
UACGGAGGGUGCAAACGUUGCUCGGAAUCAUUGGGCGUAAAGCGCACGUAGGCGGUUCGUUAAGUCGAACGUGAAAUCCCCGGGCUCAACCCGGGAACUGCGUCCGAUACUGGCAGGCUUGAAUCCGGGAGAGGGAUGCGGAAUUCCAGGUGUAGCGGUGAAAUGCGUAGAUAUCUGGAGGAACACCGGUGGCGAAGGCGGCAUCCUGGACCAACACUGACACUGAGGAGCGAAAGCCAGGGGAGCAAACGGG